GCCUGGGUGGUGCAAAUAGUUAACACACUCAGCUGCUAACUGAAAGGUUGGUGGGCCGAGUCCACUCAGAGGCA
rnacentral:tRNA from 1 species